rnacentral:rRNA from 1 species
UUGCAUAUCAAUAAGCGGAGGAAAAGAAACCAACCGGGAUUGCCUUAGUAACGGCGAGUGAAGCGGCAAAAGCUCAAAUUUGAAAUCUGGUACCUUCGGUGCCCGAGUUGUAAUUUGGAGAGGGCAACUUUGGGGCCGUUCCUUGUCUAUGUUCCUUGGAACAGGACGUCAUAGAGGGUGAGAAUCCCGUGUGGCGAGGAGUGCGGUUCUUUGUAAAGUGCCUUCGAAGAGUCGAGUUGUUUGGGAAUGCAGCUCUAAGUGGGUGGUAAAUUCCAUCUAAAGCUAAAUAUUGGCGAGAGACCGAUAGCGAACAAGUACAGUGAUGGAAAGAUGAAAAGAACUUUGAAAAGAGAGUGAAAAAGUACGUGAAAUUGUUGAAAGGGAAGGGCAUUUGAUCAGACAUGGUGUUUUGUGCCCUCUGCUCCUUGUGGGUAGGGGAAUCUCGCAUUUCACUGGGCCAGCAUCAGUUUUGGUGGCAGGAUAAAUCCAUAGGAAUGUAGCUUGCCUCGGUAAGUAUUAUAGCCUGUGGGAAUACUGCCAGCUGGGACUGAGGACUGCGACGUAAGUCAAGGAUGCUGGCAUAAUGGUUAUAUGCCGCCCGUCUUGAACCGG